UCUCGAUUGGUCUAGUGGUCAGGAUACCUGCUUGUCAUGAAACAAGCCGCAGGUGGCCGGGGUUCGAUUCCCCGAUCGAGAG